rnacentral:rRNA from 1 species
CGGGUGAGUAACGCGUAUGCAACUUUCCUCUAACAGAGAGAUAGCCCGAAGAAAUUCGGAUUAAUAUCUCAUAACAUCAUGAAAUCGCAUGGUUUUAUGAUUAAAGCUCCGGCGGUUAGAGAUGGGCAUGCGUGACAUUAGUUAGUUGGUGAGGUAACGGCUCACCAAGGCAACGAUGUCUAGGGGUUCUGAGAGGAUGAUCCCCCACACUGGUACUGAGACACGGACCAGACUCCUACGGGAGGCAGCAGUGAGGAAUAUUGGGCAAUGGACGCAAGUCUGACCCAGCCAUGCCGCGUGCAGGAUGACGGCCCUACGGGUUGUAAACUGCUUUUGUACGAGAAGAAUUCUCUUGACGUGUCAGGGGUUGACGGUAUCGUACGAAUAAGCAUCGGCUAACUCCGUGCCAGCAGCCGCGGUAAUACGGAGGAUGCAAGCGUUAUCCGGAUUUAUUGGGUUUAAAGGGUGCGUAGGCGGGAUAUUAAGUCAGUGGUGAAAUCCUGCAGCUUAACUGUAGAACUGCCAUUGAUACUGAUAUUCUUGAGUAUAGUUGAAGUGGGCGGAAUGUGUAAUGUAGCGGUGAAAUGCUUAGAUAUUACACAGAACACCGAUUGCGUAGGCAGCUCGCUAAACUAAUACUGACGCUGAGGCACGAAAGCGUGGGGAGCGAACAGGAUUAGAUACCCUGGUAGUCCACGCUGUAAACUAUGAUCACUCGUUGUUGGCAAUACACAGUCAGCGACUGAGCGAAAGCAUUAAGUGAUCCACCUGGGGAGUACGGCUGCAAGGUUGAAACUCAAAGGAAUUGACGGGGGCCCGCACAAGCGGAGGAACAUGUGGUUUAAUUUGAUGAUACGCGAGGAACCUUACCUGGGGUUAAAUGCAGAACGACGUCCGCCGAAAGGCAGAUUCCCUUCGGGGCGGAGUGCAUGGUGCUGCAUGGUUGUCGUCAGCUCGUACCGUGAGGUGUCGGGUUAAGUCCCAUAACGAGCGCAACCUCUUAUUGUUAGUUGCCAGCGGGUAAUGCCGGGGACUCUAACGAAACUGCCGGUGUAAACCGAGAGGAAGGUGGGGAUGACGUCAAAUCAGCACGGCCCUUACGUCCAGGGCUACACACGUGUUACAAUGGCCGGUUCAAAGGGCAGCUACCUGGUAACAGGAUGCUAAUCUCGAAAU